CACCAAGGGCUAUUUAUUGUCACAAAGGCAGCUGUGGGCUGCAGGUGGGUGAGGACACUCGUGGUUGAGGACAGCAGCACAGCCUGUUCUCUCUCCUGGCAUUCCGUGCCUGCCCGCACGGUUUGUGCUCCCUGCCCUCGGCUCAGCGGCUGGAAAAGCAACCAAAGGCCAGGCAGGAAGAGCUCCUGCUCUCCAUGGCAACAUCCAACAAACUCUGGGAGCUGGGGAGGCUGCCAGAGCUCCGUGGGCUCCAAUGGUUUGCAGGACGUGACCUGGGCUCCUGGGGCUGUGAUGGGGCAGCUGCGCCUUCCCCAGGCUUGGAAGGACAUCAGGAGUCAACAGAGGAAAGGAAAACACCAGGACUUGCUGAUGUUGUGUUCCAGCCAUCCACAGCCUCAUCCCAGGGAAGCUGUGAGGGAUGAAACGUGGAUAUGGGACCUCUGCAGGCACAGACAGCUUGGCUUGAGAGGGACCCUGAGGAUCACCCAAUUCCAGCCCCUCUGCCAUGGGCAGCAUCACCUUCCAGCCCACUAUCCCUGCCUAAACACCAGGCUCCAGCAUUCUGGAAUAGCAGCCACCAGGAUUCAGAGAAAAACCAAUAAACCAACUCUAGUUCUCCUGAUUUUC